AACGAACGCUGGCGGCAUGCCUAACACAUGCAAGUCGAACGAGACCUUCGGGUCUAGUGGCGCACGGGUGCGUAACGCGUGGGAACCUGCCCUUAGGUUCGGAAUAACUCCCCGAAAGGGGUGCUAAUACCGGAUAAUGUCUUCGCACCAAAGAUUUAUCGCCUUUGGCUGGGCCCGCGUUGGAUUAGCUAGUUGGUAGGGUAAAAGCCUACCAAGGCGACGAUCCAUAGCUGGUCUGAGAGGAUGAUCAGCCACACUGGGACUGAGACACGGCCCAGACUCCUACGGGAGGCAGCAGUGGGGAAUAUUGGACAAUGGGCGAAAGCCUGAUCCAGCAAUGCCGGGUGAGUGAUGAAGGCCUUAGGGUUGUAAAGCUCUUUUAGCCGGGAUGAUAAUGACAGUACCGGGAGAAGAAGCUCCGGCUAACUCCGUG
rnacentral:rRNA from 1 species